GCUAGCUACUCCAUUAUAGGGGUACAAAUGAACUAUUGAUUGUUCAUGGCAGGAGUACUGGAGCUCACCAACUGCAUCUUGACCGGGAUCGAUGCCCUCUUCCUCUUCCAUGUUCAUAUCAUCUUGGAUUGCUGCCUGUUCUGAAGUUGGUGCAAUGGAGCUUGGAGCUCCACCUGCUGGACCUGGAGCCUGUUCAGGACCUGAAGUCAGCGGUGAUCUGCAGUACCU